rnacentral:rRNA from 1 species
UAAUACGGAGGGGGCGAGCGUUAUUCGGAAUUAUUGGGCGUAAAGGGCGCGUAGGCGGCUUGACAAGUCAAAGGUGAAAUCCCUCGGCUCAACUGAGGAACUGCCUUUGAAACUGUCUGGCUUGAGGCCGGGAGGGGGUAGCGGAAUUCCCAGUGUAGCGGUGAAAUGCGUAGAUAUUGGGAGGAACACCAGUGGCGAAGGCGGCUACCUGGACCGGUUCUGACGCUGAUGCGCGAAAGCGUGGGUAGCAAACAGGAUUAGAUACCCUGGUAGUCCACGCUGUAAACGAUGAGUGCUCGGUGUCGCGGGUAUCGACCCCUGCGGUGCCUUAGCUAACGCGUUAAGCACUCCGCCUGGGGAGUACGGUCGCAAGGCUG